GAAAUAUAACCCUUAGGAGUAAUUCAACAAGAACCUGAAUUGUAAGGAACCUCCCAGUACUCAUGCAAUUCAUAAAUCAUGCUACUGAAUGAGUUAAACAAAAGCAAGCAUAGAAACAGAUGAAUUACUCUAACAAUUAAUGGAAAAACAUAUGGAAUUUAAGAAUCAAUGCAAAUAUAUGAGAGUGUACAAGGUUACAUCAUCCCCC
rnacentral:lncRNA from 1 species